rnacentral:lncRNA from 1 species
GAGCUCUUAAUCCUAAUCUCCCUUAUCAAUCGCAAAGGUCAAAUCACAGGUUACACUCUGUGUUUGUUUCCAUCCUCUGGGUCUCAGUUUUCAUUUCACUGGCUUGCUUUUGCUCCUAGGGAUUCUGUGAAGCUCUUAUCUGUGUCAGAUGCUGUACAAACAAAGGAAUCAAUUCCUUUUCCAAAGACCUGACAUCCAGCUUGAAGAUGGCAGUGAACUGCAAGCAUGGCUAGAACUCUGUGGUGUUUAAUUGUUAGGUUUCAAUCCAAGAUUUUUGAAGAAGAGAAUUAAUGUAUGGAGGAUAACAACUAGUUGUCUAAUUCCAUUAUUUAAUAUUUGCUUAUUUCUCCCUUUCUUUCUUUCUUUCUUGCUUGCUUGCUUUCUUCCUCUCUCUCUCUCUCUCUCUCUCUCUCUUUCUCUCUUCUUUUUAUAGUGUGUUUGUGUCCAUUCUCUGGAAGAAGCCCAGUGUUUAGCCAGCUGCUUUGUAUUAUUCAGGUGGAAGAAGGAACAAAGUCAUUUUGGUCUGGAAUACAGUGGGAGCUCCAGGAGCAGGAAAGAAGGGACAGCACACUGCUUCAGUCUCAGUCAUGACAUCCCUGAGAGGCAGUGCUUAUGAGGAGCAGGAAUGUGAAGGGACAGUUUGAAUAUUUGAUAGCACACUCCAAGGUACCUGGAUGAGCAACUAAUUUAGAAACCAAAGCAAUAGGCAUGCAUCUCGAGGGAAUAGUAAACAAAGUUGGAGUCAUUCCUAAUUAUUGGGAUACGGCUCUGUCAUCAGCUCCUUCUCCAGAUACUAUUAUUUAUAGAAAUAAUUAGCGUGCAGCGUUUACAUUUGGGAUGCACACAGUUCUUUAAUUGGGGGCUGAACUUGUGUUUGGCGAUCUGGAUUCCUAUCCUUACUCAUCUGCCUAUCAUUUAUAAAGAUUAUAUAUCUGGAACGUGACCUGUACAUAAUUACAAUUAAUUAACUCACCAGCAGUAAUGCUGAAAAACUUGCAUUUAAAUCAGGGGUUGAAUAAUUAAAGCAAUUAGUUAGAACUGACUAUUUGUAAUACGGCUUCUUGAAAAUAUGGAAUAAUUGCUAAUCUUCUAGGCAGAGAUGGACAGAACAUCAGUUUGGUAUUUAAUUUUGUAAAUAUGAAUUAAGCGAGGUGGUGCAAGUACAAAAUCUGUUUUUAUUUUUUAAAGUUUUCAGAGGCUGUAAGUGAUGGGCAACCCAGAGGAUUAUGUCAGGACACGGUCAUUUUAGGAUAUCCCCACAAGCUAUUGAAACAUUUCCCUCUUUUGGCAUUCAUGAUCUUGAUUUAUAAUCCUUAAUUUGUGUGGUCAGGAUGGUGCUGCUGGCAGAGUAACAGUCCUUACCACUCCUAAGCGUGCUGGGGCUGGUGCUUGUGCCUCAGCAGGGCACUUACUCUGUGGUCCCUAUGCCUCCCUUAGCCAGCUCCCUAUUCAUUACUUACUUCAGGAGGGUGUGA